CAUUACUAGUUCACUGCUUAACCGGGUACCUUUUUCAGAAGCCAGCUCUAGAGGUGCAUGCUUGAACCACUCUUUACUGGCACCAGGGAGUAGAAAACUGAUGGCCAUGAGCGAGCUGAGGAAGAAGCAUUUGGAAUUCCUUACAUACUAGUCUUCAGGGAAAGCUGACUCAGAGACUUUGCCCUAACUGAUGAAUAAGGGCAAACAGCAGCAACUCAGAACGUGGUGGAAAAUGCAAAAAGCUCCCCAAAAGUCUGUGGCUAAGAUGAGAUUUCCUGUGUUGCUGUUGCUCACUGGCAGUAUGCGACUAUACCACCACUACAAAAGGAAUUUGCAUCUAUUCAAAGCAGUAUCCACCUACCCCGCUACCUCUCUCCUUUCCAGUUAUGUGGUAUGUUCCCCAAUCUUUUUUCAAGAGCAGAAAGCUAAAGAUGAUGAUUUCAUGGGCUGACACUGCUGGAGGGUGCCUUGACAACACGGGCUCUCGGCAUGUGAAGUGAAUUCCUGUGUAAUGCUGAGCAAAUAGAGCUCUUCCCAAGUAGCCAUCAGCUUUUCUCAGCUCAGGACUGCUGAGAAAACUGCAAUGUGGGAGCAUGUGAGAUGGCUCAUGCUCUUUUUAAGUGAGAAAAUUA
rnacentral:lncRNA from 1 species